rnacentral:rRNA from 1 species
UACGUAGGGUGCGAGCGUUAAUCGGAAUUACUGGGCGUAAAGUGUGCGCAGGCGGCAAAGCAAGUCGAGUGUGAAAGCCCCGGGCUCAACCUGGGAACCGCGCUUGAGACUGGCACGCUCGAGUUCGGGAGAGGAUGGUGGAAUUCCCAGUGUAGAGGUGAAAUUCGUAGAUAUUGGGAAGAACACCGAUGGCGAAGGCAGCCAUCUGGACCGACACUGACGCUGAGGCGCGAAAGCGUGGGGAGCAAACAGG